UACGGGGGGGGCAAGCGUUGUUCGGAAUUACUGGGCGUAAAGGGCUCGUAGGCGGCCAACUAAGUCAGACGUGAAAUCCCUCGGCUUAACCGGGGAACUGCGUCUGAUACUGGAUGGCUUGAAUCCGGGAGAGGGAUGCGGAAUUCCAGGUGUAGCGGUGAAAUGCGUAGAUAUCAAGAGGAACACCUGAGGUGAAGACGGGUUGCUGGGCCGACACUGACGCUGAGUGCGCGAAAGCCAGGGGAGCAAACGGG
rnacentral:rRNA from 1 species